rnacentral:rRNA from 1 species
GUGAGGAAUUUUCCGCAAUGGGCGAAAGCCUGACGGAGCAAUGCCGCGUGAAGGAUGAAGGCCUAUGGGUUGUAAACUUCUUUUCUUAGAGAAGAAUAUUGACGGUAUCUGAGGAAUAAGCCCCGGCUAACUUCGUGCCAGCAGCCGCGGUAAUACGAAGGGGGCGAGCGUUAUUCGGAAUCACUGGGCGUAAAGCGUGCGUAGGCUGUUUUGUAAGUCAGAAGUGAAAGCCCAGGGCUUAACCCUGGAAUUGCUUUUGAAACUACAAGACUCGAAUUCGGGAGAGGAUAGCGGAAUUGUCAGUGUAGCAGUGAAAUGCGUAGAUAUUGACAGGAACACCAGUGGCGCAAGCGGCUAUCUGGACCGAUAUUGACGCUGAGGCACGAAAGCGUGGGGAGCAAACAGGAUUAGAUACCCCAGUAGUCC